rnacentral:lncRNA from 1 species
CUACAUUUGGCUGAGCUUCUGCCAUCUUUCUGCUGAGCUGCUUUCUGUCAGUAAGACUCGACACACUGUCAUAACAGCCUUCUUCAGGUGAAGACAAUCAAAAACUCUAAGACUUACAGAUGGUGUGAGGAUAGCACCUGGUGGACCUCUUUCCUGACAUAAUUGGAAGGAUUGCAAGAUCAAGGGAAAAGAAGGAAGCAAGGCAGCAGAUAAAAGAUGGAGAGAGAGUACACUAUGUUCUGGGA